UACGAAGGUCCCAAGCGUUGUUCGGAAUCACUGGGCGUAAAGGGAGCGUAGGCGGCGUGGUAAGUCAGAUGUGAAAUCCCGGGGCUCAACCCCGGAACUGCAUCCGAUACUGCCGUGCUUGAGGGUUGGAGAGGUGACUGGAAUUAUCGGUGUAGCAGUGAAAUGCGUGGAUAUCGGAAGGAACAUCAGUGGCGAAAGCGACUUCCUGGACCAGUACCGACGUUCAGGCACGAAAGCGUGGGGAGCAAACAGGA
rnacentral:rRNA from 1 species